rnacentral:rRNA from 1 species
AGUGAACGCUGGCGGUAGGCCUAACACAUGCAAGUCGAACGGCAGCACAGUAAGAGCUUGCUCUUACGGGUGGCGAGUGGCGGACGGGUGAGGAAUACAUCGGAAUCUACUUUUUCGUGGGGGAUAACGUAGGGAAACUUACGCUAAUACCGCAUACGACCUACGGGUGAAAGCAGGGGAUCUUCGGACCUUGCGCGAUUGAAUGAGCCGAUGUCGGAUUAGCUAGUUGGCGGGGUAAAGGCCCACCAAGGCGACGAUCCGUAGCUGGUCUGAGAGGAUGAUCAGCCACACUGGAACUGAGACACGGUCCAGACUACUACGGGAGGCAGCAGUGGGGAAUAUUGGACAAUGGGCGCAAGCCUGAUACAGCAAUACCGCGUGGGUGAAGAAGGCCUUCGGGUUGUAAAGCCCUUUUGUUGGGAAAGAAAAGCAGCAGGUUAAUACCCCGCUGUUAUGACGGUACCAAAAGAAUAAGCACCGGCUAACUUCGUG